rnacentral:rRNA from 1 species
CAGCACCUCAAGUGGUCAGGAUGAUUAUUGGGCCUAAAGCAUCCGUAGCCGGCGCUGUAAGUUUUCGGUUAAAUCUGUACGCUCAACGUACAGGCUGCCGGGAAUACUGCAGCGCUAGGGAGUGGGAGAGGUAGACGGUAUUCGGUAGGAAGGGGUAAAAUCCUUUGAUCUAUUGAUGACCACCUGUGGCGAAGGCGGUCUACCAGAACACGUCCGACGGUGAGGGAUGAAAGCUGGGGGAGCAAAACGGAUUAGAUACCCGCGUAGUCC